GUCGGCCUACGGGGGGCAGCAGUGAGGAAUAUUGGUCAAUGGGCGGAAGCCUGAACCAGCCAAGUCGCGUGAGGGAGGACGGUCCUAUGGAUUGUAAACCUCUUUAGGCGGGGAGCAAUGCCGGGCACGCGUGCCCGGAGGGAGAGUACCCGCAGAAUAAGCAUCGGCUAACUCCGUGCCAGCAGCCGCGGUAAUACGGAGGAUGCGAGCGUUAUCCGGAUUUAUUGGGUUUAAAGGGUGUGUAGGCGGGCUUUUAAGUCAGCGGUAAAAAUUCGGGGCUCAACCCCGUCCUGCCGUUGAAACUG
rnacentral:rRNA from 1 species